rnacentral:rRNA from 1 species
GAUGAACGCUGGCGGCGUGCCUAAUACAUGCAAGUCGAGCGAACGGACGAGAAGCUUGCUUCUCUGAUGUUAGCGGCGGACGGGUGAGUAACACGUGGAUCACCUACCUAUAAGACUGGGAUAACUUCGGGAAACCGGAGCUAAUACCGGAUAAUAUUUUGAACCGCAUGGUUCAAAAGUGAAAGACGGUCUUGCUGUCACUUAUAGCUGGAUCCGCGCUGCAUUAGCUAGUUGGUAAGGUAACGGCUUACCAAGGCAACGAUGCAUAGCCGACCUGAGAGGGUGAUCGGCCACACUGGAACUGAGACACGGUCCAGACUCCUACGGGAGGCAGCAGUAGGGAAUCUUCGGCAAUGGGCGAAAGCCUGACGGAGCAAUGCCGCGUGAGUGAUGAAGGUCUUCGGAUCGUAAAACUCUUUUAUUAGGGAAGAACAGAUGUGGAAGUAACUGUGCACAUCUUGACGGUACCUAAUCAGAAAGCCACGGCUAACUACGUG